CAGUCGCCGCGGUAAUACGUAGGUGGCAAGCGUUGUCCGGAUUUAUUGGGCGUAAAGCGAGCGCAGGCGGUUUCUUAAGUCUGAUGUGAAAGCCCCCGGCUCAACCGGGGAGGGUCAUUGGAAACUGGGAGACUUGAGUGCAGAAGAGGAGAGUGGAAUUCCAUGUGUAGCGGUGAAAUGCGUAGAUAUAUGGAGGAACACCAGUGGCGAAGGCGGCUCUCUGGUCUGUAACUGACGCUGAGGCUCGAAAGCGUGGGGAGCGAACAGGAUUAGAUACCCGUGUAGUCCCUGUCUCUUAUAU
rnacentral:rRNA from 1 species